UACGAAGGGGGCUAGCGUUGCUCGGAAUGACUGGGCGUAAAGGGCGCGUAGGCGGCGAUCAAGGUCAGAUGUGAAAUUCCUGGGCUUAACCUGGGGGCUGCAUUUGAUACGUGGUGGCUUGAGUGCGGAAGAGGGUCGUGGAAUUCCUGUGUAGAGGUGAAAUUCGUAGAUAUUGGGAAGAACACCGGUGGCGAAGGCGGCGACCUGGUCCGUGACUGACGCUGAGGCGCGAAAGCGUGGGGAGCAAACAGG
rnacentral:rRNA from 1 species